AGUCGAACGGAAAGGCCCUGCUUGCAGGGUACUCGAGUGGCGAACGGGUGAGUAACACGUGGGUGAUCUGCCCUGCACUUCGGGAUAAGCUUGGGAAACUGGGUCUAAUACCGGAUAGGAACCAUCUUUAGUGUGGUGGUUGGAAAGUUUUUUCGGUGUAGGAUGAGCUCGCGGCCUAUCAGCUUGUUGGUGGGGUAAUGGCCUACCAAGGCGGCGACGGGUAGCCGGCCUGAGAGGGUGUACGGCCACAUUGGGACUGAGAUACGGCCCAGACUCCUACGGGAGGCAGCAGUGGGGAAUAUUGCACAAUGGGCGCAAGCCUGAUGCAGCGACGCCGCGUGGGGGAUGAAGGCCUUCGGGUUGUAAACUCCUUUCGCUAGGGACGAAGCUUUUUGUGACGGUACCUAGAUAAGAAGCACCGGCUAACUACGCGCCAGCAGCCGCGGUAAUACGUAGGGUGCGAGCGUUGUCCGGAAUUACUGGGCGUAAAGGGCUCGUAGGUGGUUUGUCGCGUCGUCUGUGAAAUUCUGGGGCUUAACUCCGGGCGUGCAGGCGAUACGGGCAUAACUUGAGUGCUGUAGGGGUAACUGGAAUUCCUGGUGUAGCGGUGAAAUGCGCAGAUAUCGGGAGGAACACCGAUGGCGAAGGCAGGUUACUGGGGCAGUUACUGACGCUGAGGAGCGAAAGCAUGGGUAGCGAACAGGAUUA
rnacentral:rRNA from 1 species